UCGAGCACUCAGUACUCCCUCUUCUUCCCUCAGCUUUCCCUGCGUGAAGCCAUUUUCAUCGUCCGUCGCCGGUGGUACCUACAGAGUGAAGAUGAACCUCUCACUUCCUCCCACUCUCUCUCCUCCCUAAAACCCCUCUUAAACCCCCAAUUCCCAUUUUCCAUAACCCUAAUUUCCACCCCUUCUCUCAAUUCCCCCCAAAUCCUACGCUGUGAUGAAUUCCCGGUCAACGAGACAUUCCUCGGGCAAUUUGCCCCGAAAGACACCAAAACCUAGGAAGAAGCCCAAAAGCGGAACUGGGUCGAACGAGGUUGGGCGCCAUGGGAGGAGAUUUUCUCUCCUGAGGCAGAUUUCGCCAGAAAAUCGCUCUGAGGGGGAGGAAGUAGCAUACCUUGUCCGACCAUCUGGGUGGAUUUUGCAUCUUCUAGUUUGCAGUUUUAGAUCUGGCUUUAGUCGAUGUAGAUGAGAUUCAGCAUUUGAAAUUCAAUCAGGGAGUUCAUGAAGAACUACUUAGGCUCCUAACAGAUCUAUCCUCUGGAAUCGGAGUUUCAUCACAUUUCAGAUAACUUUUGUGGGGGAUUGUUCUGCAGCAAAUGCUCAAAGGGGAGGAGUUUAUUGCCUGCAAAGUUCCGUAUUUCAGAUCCACAUCGAGUAUGUGACGUUUGCUGUGUGCGUUUGGAGUCUUUGCAGGGGUAUUUGAUGGACCAAGUUAGUCGUGCUGCACAGUUGCCACCUAUGAUUUGACUGAUAUCAGUACCUUGAGAUCUUGGCUGAAUUUUCCGUGGAGCCAGUCUAUGGAAUAUGAAAGAUGGUACUGGGUUGGUUAUUGCUCGAAGGAAAGAUGGUUCUUGGUCUUCUCCGUCUGCCAUUGCUUCAUUUGGAUUGGGUUGGGGAGUACAGGACUCAAUAGAUGUGGGAAGAGUUGCAGGAUUAGGUGGACUAACUACCUGAGGCCUGACCUUAAGCAUGAAGAUUUUACCGAACAAGAAGAGCAGCUCAUUAUUUAGUACCAUGCAGCUAUAGGCAGCAGGUGGUCCCUAAUAGCGAAACACCUGCUAGGAAGAAGCUUGCACGUUAUUAAUCUGAUCAAAUUCUAAACGCGGAGUUGUUUAGAGUCAAGCCAAGAAGAGGUCAGCAUAUUCAUUUUAAAGCGACAUUCCCCUCUUUGUUAAAGCGACACCUGCCAGGAGGUAUAUACUCCGAGGAAUGCGCAUUAUGCUAGUGAGGAAAUUGAUGUGGUUCCUGAGCAAUUGGCUAAGUUUUUACCAGCAAGUAUUUAUUAUUGGCCUGAGCGCGCUUGGUCGAGUUGUUUGAUAUUAAAAUGUAUGCGUACGUUGAAAUUGGAACGUACAAAUAUUUAAAUGUAGUACACUUUGGUUUUGGGAUAUAUUAAAUAUACAAAACAACAGUUAUUGUUUUUAUAUUUGUUAUACAGGUUGCGAUAUU